ensembl:lncRNA
UUCACUUUUAUUAGUGUAUAUCCCAUUAUUUACCAUGCAUAAAAUUAUUCCACCAUUUUGAGCUUUCUGUUAAACCUACUUUUUAAAGUCCUCCCAGAUCAUUUGUCCAGUUAAACUUAAAUGAUGUAUCAUCAACAUACAUAUGGAAAUUUCUUUUACAUAAGAAAUUAAUGCCUUAAUAUUUUGAUUUGGCCUAACUAUGGCCCACAGUUUGGGAAGCACUUAGAAUCUACCCACACAAACUGAGUCCAAAUUGAGUCUGAGUCCAGACUGUCUUUGCAAAGUUUGAACUGCCCAACUAUAGAAACAGCUGUUGUGCCACAGAUGCACUGCAGGCUACUGAUUCAGGAAACAGUCCUCAUCCUCCAUAAAAUGCGCAGUACACAUCUGAAUAUUUGGGUUGGAGUGUUCUGGAAUAUUAGUCGAGUCCCAAAAUAGAUAAAUAGCCCUGGAUAAGAUGCAGUAGGCAUUUUUGAGGAAAAGUACUUCAAGUGUUGUUUCUAUAUGAUUUUUAGGUGCUGAAUCCAUUUCUGCUGUAUAACAACUUGUAAACAUCACUGUUUUGGCAUAAACAAUAAAAACAAAAUGGCUGCCAAAAAAAAAAAAAAAAACAUUUUAAUGCAUUUAUUGCAGUUUAAACAUUAAACAUUAGAACUAAACUGUGCAUACUCAGAAUAUUUAAACAUGUAAAUUGAAAAAACAACAUUAACAUGAAAGGGACAGUUUUUAAUGUUUAAAUGGCUGCUGUAACUAAAAUUUCAACAAAAUCAAGCAACGAUACUGUGAUCACAGAUAUUCCAAAAGUUAUUCGUUCAUACAAGUAUCAUUGGACUUUCUGCAUUUGCAAGAUGCAGUGCAUGAAUUAGGCUUGCAGCUGCAUCGGGCUGUCUUGCAUCCAGUGGUGCAGGCACAGGUGAUUAACUCCUCACAGGCAUCUGGAACUGGGGGUAGUGACAUGAGUUGAGGAAUAAGGGAAUUCCCCUCUGUCUUCCAUCCCAUGGUUUCAGGGGGUGGCAGAACUGGCUGCUGCAAGUGGGCCUGCCGCCAGACCAAAGCCUGGAAGUGAGAGCGCUGAAUGUGGAAGUAGAGAGCGUCUCUGGUUGGGGGCAGUCUUUCUAUUGUCAUGCCCUUGACAAACAUGCUUGCUCGAACUUCAUUGAUGUUAUCAGCAUCCUUUACACCAUAGAGUUUGCAGAAAAACUGUUCUGCAUUCUGAAUGGUGUGGUCACUCAGUUAAGGACCUUUGCCAAGCCCCGAUAGUAGAUGUGAAUACUCUAUGAAAACUUCCCAGCAUGUCUUCUUUGAAUGUCCUACAAUGUAUGAAGUUGAGUUACUCCCAGUGAGAGCAUGGAAACCAGGAAGUAGCUCGAGGACCUGUGGCUCCAUCUGCAGUUGUUCCACUACAGCAUGAACUGGGACGUACUUUCUCUCCUUUGCUGUACUUGUCUUUAUCCAGAUCUUUUGGCAUGGCAUCAUGUGGAAGUGGGCAAUCAGCAGUACCAAGAUGUCGGUGUCUCUUGCAGAGACCAUUUUUGAUGCUUUGCUUCUGAUGCAGUGAAGGAUAAUUCUUGUGUCUGCUUCUUAAUGUUUAGCUUCCAAGCUGUCAGUGUUAAGGGUUGUAUUAGAUGCUUCAACCCUCUCUUCAUCGCUGAAGCCACCUGCAGCAACUAUAAUCUUGGUGUCUGGUGCUCUCACAAUCAGCUGUUGUGAUAGAAAGUGAGCAAGGUCUGCCUUGUUGUCUUUGUGAGCGAUAAAGUUCUCCCAUUUUGUGGGAAGAGGUAAAUCUCUGCCCUCAACUGGUC